rnacentral:rRNA from 1 species
UACGUAGGGUGCUAGCGUUGUCCGGAAUCAUUGGGCGUGAAGCGCGUGUAGGCGGUCCGGUAAGUCCGCUGUGAAAGUCGGGGGCUCAACCCUCGAAUGCCGGUGGAUACUGUCGGGCUAGAGUGCGGAAGAGGCGAGUGGAAUUCCUGGUGUAGCGGUGAAAUGCGCAGAUAUCAGGAGGAACACCAAUUGCGAAGGCAGCUCGCUGGGACGUAACUGACGCUGAGACGCGAAAGCGUGGGGAGCAAACAGG